UGCCAGCAGCCGCGGUAAUACGGAGGGCGCAAGCGUUGUUCGGAAUCAUUGGGCGUAAAGCGGGUGCAGGCGGUUAUGCAAGUCGGUUGUGAAAGCCCGGGGCCCAACCCCGGAACUGCAGCCGAAACUGCAUGACUAGAGUCUCGGAGAGGGUGGCGGAAUUCCCGGUGUAGAGGUGAAAUUCGUAGAUAUCGGGAGGAACACCAGUGGCGAAGGCGGCUUUCUGGACCAAUACUGACGCUGAGAUGCGAAAGCGUGGGGAGCGAACAGGAUUAGAUA
rnacentral:rRNA from 1 species